CAUGUGAUGGAUGACGGCUAUUUUGAGCCCCGGAGGGAAGGUAAUCUUCAAGAACAAUGAUCUUGCUAGACAUCGACCAACUUGACCAAGACCUCGCCACGGUUGAUGACUUCAACAAGGAUGAUUUUCAUCAUGGGGUAAGGUAAACUAAAGGUUUUACGGCUAAGCUAAAUCUCCAUCCAAUUGCUGCCAUUAAUCGCGAAUGGACCUACAGUCUGAAAGUUCAAGGAUGACAUGUUUCUAGGGUCAGCAAUAAUUGAAAAAGGUUAGUGGUAACAAAGGCACUGCAGCAUAAUUUUAUCAUCCACCAAUGGAAGACAAUCUGACAUGGAAGCUCUGAAGAGUAUCAAUAUGUAGCCAUUUAAUUCCUAUAACAUGUACUCACUAUUACCUGCUUUUAUGCACUUGAUCUGAUGUUUUGAUAUGUACACUUAAACAAGUUAUUUGUUAAUGGUUUCCACACAUUUCUCUCAA